UACGGGGGGAGCAAGCGUUGUUCGGAUUUACUGGGCGUAAAGGGCGCGUAGGCGGCCACCGCAAGUCGACUGUGAAAUCUCCGGGCUUAACCCGGAAAGGUCAGCCGAUACUGCGGGGCUAGAGUGCAGAAGGGGCAACUGGAAUUCUCGGUGUAGCGGUGAAAUGCGUAGAUAUCGAGAGGAACACCUGCGGCGAAGGCGGGUCUCUGGGCAGUAACUGACGCUGAGGAGCGAAAGCGUGGGGAGCGAACAGG
rnacentral:rRNA from 1 species